GGCGUAGUUCAGUUGGUUAGAGCGUCAGAUUGUGGUUCUGAAUGUCGUGGGUUCGAGUCCC
rnacentral:tRNA from 1 species